rnacentral:lncRNA from 1 species
GGCUGCCAGGGACAGAGAGGCUUCCGGGAUAGUUCUUCCGGUCAAGUUCCGGGCAGACCGGCGCGUGGUGGUCACCCUACCGAUUACCCGGAUUCUCCCCUCAUUCUAGCAUCUGGGUCCUCUGCACACUGAUGAGAAUUCCCUGUUUGCUAACACCCACCCCCCAUCCCCAUCUCGCCUUCCCCAAGCGGCUAGCACCUGAAGCCUGAGCACACUGCAUAUAGCACACCUGCCUAGGAAGAGUGAAUGUGGAGGGCCCUGAAGGGGAGAGGAAGAAUUCUCCCUCUCCUGCACCACGUUAAAGUGCAAAUGAAAGAUCCCCGAGCAAAGCUGUGGCGCAUCAGGACAGAAUACCAGAGUGAGUGCAAGUGGAGGCCGCUGGGCACAGCAGGCAGGUGAGCACAGAGGAGGGAAGAGAAGUCCUGGGGCACCAGGGGGGUGGACUUC